UAAGGAGGAUGCGAGCGUUAUCCGGAUUUAUUGGGUUUAAAGGGUGCGUAGGCGGAACAUUAAGUCAGCGGUAAAAUCGAGGGGCUCAACCCCUUUAAGCCGUUGAAACUGGUGAUCUUGAGUGGGCGAGAAGUAUGCGGAAUGCGUGGUGUAGCGGUGAAAUGCGUAGAUAUAUGGAAGAACACCAGUGGCGAAAGCGGCUCUCUGGUCUGUAACUGACGCUGAGGUUCGAAAGCGUGGGGAGCAAACAGG
rnacentral:rRNA from 1 species